GGUUAGGCUGGGGAACAUAUCAUUUUGGGGGUCACCAUUCAACCUACCAUUAUUGGAUUAAUAACUAUUAUACACAGUGAUACCCCCUACUAGAGCCUUCAGACAAACUCUCAACGUCCACUUGCUGGAGAGUAUAAGGUAGUCAAGCUUCUGAGACUCCAGAAACAUCCAAAGGAGGCGCUGCCUGUGGUAGUCUGCCUUUCUUU
rnacentral:sRNA from 1 species